CCGCAUCAUCAGCAAGCGCUCAGAAACUACAACUCCAACGACAUGAGUUUCCAAUUUAGAACAACCCCACAUGUGUUGAUGUUGAGAUCAAUUGGAUUUGGGGCGACCGGCCUGAAAAUACACGUUCUUUUGUGCAAGUUGUUUUUGCGUGAAACGCAAUAUGAACAUCAUCUUAUGUUUGACGUUUUCACCAGACUGUCAACGCUAUUGACAGAAAAUGUGUAUAAUCAGCAGGUGAUAUGGAAUGCAUAUUGCAGUCUUGAUAGGGACGAACUUAGCAUAGUGUAUCUCGCAUGGAACGUUGGAAGAGUUUUGCAAGACUGUGACUUGCUUGACCACGUGGACGAGAUUAGAGCCAACACUCUUUAAUGGAGCUUCCGUAUUUUCUGUAAAAUGAUCAAUAAAUUUACAAUUAUGA